rnacentral:rRNA from 1 species
GACCAGACUCCUACGGGAGGCAGCAGUGGGGAAUAUUGCACAAUGGGGGAAACCCUGAUGCAGCAACGCCGCGUGAGUGAAGAAGUAUUUCGGUAUGUAAAGCUCUAUCAGCAGGGAAGAAAAUGACAGUACCUGACUAAGAAGCCCCGGCUAACUACGUGCCAGCAGCCGCGGUAAUACGUAGGGGGCAAGCGUUAUCCGGAUUUACUGGGUGUAAGGGGAGCGUAGACGGCUGCGCAAGUCAGAAGUGAAAGCCCGGGGCUCAACCGCGGGACUGCAUUGGAAACUGCGAGGCUGGAGUGUCGGAGAGGCAGGCGGAAUUCCUAGUGUAGCGGUGAAAUGCGUAGAUAUUAGGAGGAACACCAGUGGCGAAGGCGGCCUGCUGGACGAUGACUGACGCUGAGGCUCGAAAGCGUGGGGAGCAAACAGGAUUAGAUACCCGAGUA